AACGAACGCUGGCGGCAUGCCUAACACAUGCAAGUCGAACGAGACCUUCGGGUCUAGUGGCGCACGGGUGCGUAACGCGUGGGAACCUGCCCUUAGGUUCGGAAUAACUCCCCGAAAGGGGUGCUAAUACCGGAUAAUGUCUCCGGACCAAAGAUUUAUCGCUUUUGGAUGGGCCCGCGUUGGAUUAGCUAGUUGGUAGGGUAAAAGCCUACAAAGGCGACGAUCCAUAGCUGGUCUGAGAGGAUGAUCAGCCACACUGGGACUGAGACACGGCCCAGACUCCUACGGGAGGCAGCAGUGGGGAAUAUUGGACAAUGAGCGAAAGCGUAAUCCAGCAAUGCCGCGUGAGUGAUGAAGGCCUUAGGGUUGUAAAGCUCUUUUACCCGGGAUGAUAAUGACAGUACCGGGAGAAUAAGCUCCGGCUAACUCCGUG
rnacentral:rRNA from 1 species